rnacentral:rRNA from 1 species
GACGAAGGGGGCUAGCGUUGUUCGGAAUUACUGGGCGUAAAGCGAGUGUAGGUGGUUGUCACAGUCAGGUGUGAAAGCCUUGGAGCUCAACUCAAGAAAUGCACUUGAUACUAGGCGACUAGAGGACCGGAGGAGGAUAGUGGAAUUCCCAGUGUAGUGGUGAAAUACGUAGAGAUUGGGAAGAACACCAGUGGCGAAGGCGGCUAUCUGGACGGUUUCUGACACUAAGACUCGAAAGCGUGGGAGCAAACAGG